AUUUCUUCUUUUAUGACUUUGAGAUGACCUGUGGAAUGUAUGGAUCUUUAAUACAGAAAAAUGUUCUGACUAAUUUUAAGAAGUGAAAUACAGGCAGAAUCGUGUCUGCCCAUCUCAUCCUACCUUUAAUAAAAUAAAUAUGACUGAGUGUAAUGGCCAAAAUCCCUGACAGCCUCAGGUUUGCCAGCACUGGUUUUCCAUGUGCUUUCAGCCAGGGAUUGGGAACCUUGGCUGAACACAGAGCGCUUAACAUGCCUCAGAUGGUGCCUCAAGAUUUCCUGUGCACACGUGAGCAGACAGGCCAUGGUUGGGAAAAGCUUGGGUUUUCCACCUUCCUCAAAACACUGGUGGAAGGGGAAUUCUGCCUGUUGUGCUCAGCGUGUCAAGCCCUUUGCAGAGGUCCCAUAAAGGCACCUCAUUGCCUUUGCUGUAACACCUCAUAACCCUUGUUAACUCUUCUCUUUUAUGGUCCUGUAGGUAAGAGUUCAUCUGACUGAAAUAUCCCUGAGGCAGCUGACAAGAAACCUUGAACUGCUUGAAUACAAAACCAGAUGCCUGCGUUCACUGUGGGGUGACCCUCUCUGGAGCAGCGAGGCAGAGCAGUCCCAGGGCAGGCGGGAGACUCCGGAGUGCCGCCGGGCUGAUGGAGACCAGUGUUUGUCCGAGGAUUAUCCUCAGGCCCCUCAUCAUCACAUUUUCGCUUGUUCUGUGUGGAUGGGGACUUGAUGACAAUUCCCUGAAAUUUCAAUUUGGAAGAAAGAGCUUCAUGUUUGACCUUUUCUCUCCAACGCCGUGUCUGCCUGCCUUGCCCACAGGCUUCAGAUGGGUCCUGUUCCCCUUCGGUUUAAGGUCCAGAUGAGUGAAAUGAGGAGAUCCCACAUUGGCCUCAUGAGCGUUCUUGCCGUUGCCCGUGGCUGGAGUUGCCUGAUGCCGUGAGUUUUCUGUUUCAUGGACCAUUCUGAGAGAAAAUCAUGUGCUGAGGGAGUAACCCAGCAAUGAAGGAGUAAAUAGCUGCUCUGAAGAUCAGCUUAUUAAGAGGCAGACAUCUGAAUGAAGUGAGGUUCCUGGGGAGUCUGUGGCACCAGACAUGCCAAAAAGGGAGGCAUGAAACCCUGUUAUGUGCCAUGACCAAGCAAAAGGCGUUUUUACCAAGGCAGGAUUGGUGGUUAAUAUUCUGCUCCUGUGCUGUGCUCACUGAAACCCUGGAGUGCUUUUGUUCAUGAUCUGGGUCUUGUGCAGCACAUUUACAUGUGAUCAACUGUUGGAGUGGCUCCGUCACCUCAGUACAGAACAGGGCUCAGCUGAAAUGACAAAGGCACGAGCUUCAUUUGGGACAUGAAGAAAACCAAACAAAAAUAUCACAACUUUUUUUUUUUUCUCUUUUUUUCUUUGAUAAAAGCCUUAACAACAGCUUCCUUACUCAACAGGAUGGUAUGUCAUAUGGUUACAUUACAUCUGGUCAAAAGACUAAAGAUGAUUUAGCUUUUAACUAACUUUUUUUACUUUUAAUUGAGUUUGUUAGGCGUAAAUAGCUGAAUGACACAGCGUUUGUUUAACUCAGCAAUAUUCACAGCUUAAUUAAAUAAUUCACAUGCCAGUCUCUAAUCGUGACGUGAAAAGACCAAAAACCAAAUUAAAUAAUCAUAGCUCCCUGAGCCAAUUGCUUGGAAAAGAGGAGCAGGGUCUGUUGAGACAUAUGGCAAACAAUCUUUGCUGCAAACCAGCAAGCUAAAACACACCACUACUACCAUGUGGUAAGAGGACAUAUCCUUUUGCACAAUAUAUUUUCCAAACACACUCUCGCCAGGAGAAGCAGGUGUGUAACUGAACUUGGGUUUGAACAGAUAAUUCGAGUACUAUGAAUUGGAAGGAAAGGGAGGAAGCUGGGAAAGGGGAUGAAAUAUCGUGAAUUAAAAUCGCAAUAUCCCUUAGAGCUUUUUUAAUUGUUAACUUAUAAGUUGGGAAUUUGUGAAAUGUGACAAAUAAGGAAGAAAUUGAGAAUGCCUGCUGCGCUGAGAUCUGUCUCUGCCAAUAUAUGCGUUCUCUGCUGUGGUGCUGUUGUUUAUGGUAAUCCCGGUGUGGCACAGGCAGGACGAAGGAUGUGUGCAGGGGAAUAUCCACUGGAGCCAGAACGGCAGGGCCUUGAAAAUUCCAUAUGAGGAUCCCAGAGUAGAGUAAGACACCGUGAGGAGAUUGGAACCUGUGCCAGCCUGCAGAGGCCUGUCCUCCAGCUGAGAACAGCUCAAGUGCAACGUGUGCUGGCCGUGUGUCCUCCUGUGCCUUGUUCAUUUUUCCUUUGGGCCGAAAAGACAUGGGAAGAACCUCCCAC